rnacentral:RNase_P_RNA from 1 species
CGAGUAGGACAGAUGAUCGCGGGACCGUUCUUCGGUCGUGAGGAAAGUCCGGGCAUCACAGGGCAGGAUGCUGGAUAACGUCCAGUUGAGGUGACUCAAAGGAAAGUGCAACAGAAAGUAUACCGCCCCAUCUUUGAUGAGGUAAGGGUGAAAUGGCGAGGUAAGAGCUCACCGCCUGGCUGGUGACAGACAGGGCAUUGUAAACCCCAUCCGAUGCAAGACCAAGCAGAAGUGUUGACGCUGCCCGCCGAGCUUCAGGUAGGUUGCUUGAACCCUAUGGUAACGUAGGGUCUAGAUAGAUGAUUAUCCAAGACAGAACCCGGCUUACAGUCCUACUCGUAUU